CCUGGAGGAUUACAAACAAGAGAGAGCAUGGGGGGACUUUAAAAUGACCACAUGUGAUGAUGUCAUCCUCGCACGGCUAUCACAAGAAGAAGUCUCACUGAUGCCAUGUGAGAGAGAACGUUACAUGACGGAUACGGUCUCGUUACUGUACGGACGAGAACGCCAACCGGACAAUAAACCACGGAGCCGCUGUGCAGCUGUCAACCGACGAGCCGACACACAUCACGGCGGCGUCGUUGAAAAAUCCGGGUGAACGAGGUGGGAAGAGACAGACGUCAGCGUGCACGUACUCACCGGACGGCCUGUCCCUUCUCCGCUCGGCCUUGGCCGUGGCCCUGCGAUCGCCCGACAACAAGCUAGCGGGAGCUAAACGCGCAGCACUAGCUGCAAAUAAUGACAUUGACGUCGAACCAAAAACGGAUGAUAUGCGAGGAUACAAAGGGCAGCCGCACGCGUUGUAUCCUCUCCAUGGCUCCUAGCAUGUCUUCCCUGGGGGGCGGUGGUGGUGGGGGAGGGGGGUUGUGCCAAAAAGGCUGAAGGGAAAUGGCUGUUUCCGUAAGGAUUACUAGACACGGCUAAAGGGGCUACACGGGCUAACAGGCUAGCAACGGGGCAAGCCUAAACCCAGCACCACUCAGCUGUGCACUGGUCACGUGACACGAUGCUGCCUUCAAAGACCGUGGUGAUGUGGCGACAAUGGCCACUUCACACCGGACUAUUGAAAUAAACACACACACACCUACAGUCUAAGCAGUCUUCCAGUGAGCAAUACGACUGGUCACCUACGCUCGUAACGACCGCUCGUCGUGUUUCCAUUGCUGAACGUGCUUUGAAGGAGGCCAGUAAUGCUUGUUUUCACUUAAUUUGCCCACGAUUGAUAAACGCAGUGCACGACCGUCGCAACGAGGACGGGUUCGUUUUCAACAAAACGACCGUGAAUGGGGCCCAGCGAUGUCAAUCUACCGCUAUCCUCCAUCGAGAAAACAUCUGUGGUGAGACGCGGCACCGCUGGGUGGCAGCGUUGAAAUCAACCUCACGUUGCAGAGAGGACCCUCUAUGGAGCCAAAUUGAGGACCACAUUUUUGAUCAUUUGAUAAAAGAGUUUUGAACAUUGAAAAAUAUACCAUAAAAAUAAGUGAAUGAAUAUUAUUUUGUCGGUCAAAUAUUUCUUUGUUAUUCAGGUCAAAAUGAAAUUCUUUGGAAAAAAAUAUUUAUUUUUAUUCUUUACUUGUAUAUAUCCUCGUUUCACCAGUAAUACCAGUAAUAAUAAAGUACGUAACAUGUAUGUUACAUGCAAAACUACCUAACAAUUAUGUGGUUCCUGCAGCUGUUACGUGAAAAUGCUGUUUGGUGCUUAAACAUGCGUGAGUGAUAAUAAUCAAAUAAUAAAUACGAAUUGUCAUACAAAA